UUCCGGUUGAUCCCGCCGGAGGCCACUGCUAUUGGGAUCCGACUAAGCCAUGCGAGUCGAGAGGGUUCGGCCCUCGGCAGACUGCUCAGUAACACGUAGAUAACCUAACCUUAGGUGGAAGAUAACCUCGGGAAACUGAGAAUAAUAUUCCAUAGAUCUAGGAUGCUGGAAUGCAUCUAGAUUGAAAGUUCCGACGCCUAAGGAUGGGUCUGCGGACUAUCAGGUUGUAGUCAGGGUAAAGACCUGACAAGCCUACGACGGAUAUGGGUUGUGAGAGCAAUAGCCCAGAGACGAUAUCUGAGACACGAUAUCGGGCCCUACGGGGCGCAGCAGGCGCGAAAUCUUCACAAUGUGCGAAAGCACGAUGAGGGGAUCCCAAGUGCUGGCACGUAAGUGUCAGCUGUUUCUUAGUCUAAAAAACUGAGAGAGUAAGGGCUGGGUAAGACGGGUGCCAGCCGCCGCGGUAAUACCUGCAGCUCAAGUGGUGGCCGCUAUUAUUGGGCCUAAGACGUCCGUAGCCUGUUUAGUAAAUGCUUGGGUAAAUUGUGUAGCUCAACUAUACGAAUACCGGGUAGACUGCUAAACUUGGGACCGGGAGAGGCUAGAGGUACUCCUGGGGUAGAGGUGAAAUUCUGUAAUCCUAGGGGGACCACCAGUGGCGAAGGCGUCUAGCUAGAACGGGUCUGACGGUGAGGGACGAAGCCCUGGGGCGCAAACCGGAUUAGAUACCCGGGUAGUCCAGGGUGUAAACGCUGCUUGCUUGAUGUUAGUUGGGCUCCGAGCCCAACUAGUGUCGGAGAGAAGUUGUUAAGCAAGCUGCCUGGGAAGUACGGUCGCAAGACUGAAACUUAAAGGAAUUGGCGGGGGAGCACAGCAACGGGUGGAGCGUGCGGUUUAAUUGGAUUCAACGCCGGAAAUCACUAGUGCGGCCGCCUGCAGGUCGACCAUAU
rnacentral:rRNA from 1 species